rfam:Pseudomonas fluorescens ABAC62 scaffold241_001, whole genome shotgun sequence.
GGGCCUAUAGCUCAGUUGGUCAGAGCAGAGGACUCAUAAUCCUUUGGUCCACGGUUCAAGUCCGUGUGGGCCCA